UACGGAGUGGGCUAGCGUUAUUCGGAAUCAUUGGGCGUAAAGGGCGCGUAGGCGGAUUAGUAAGUUAAAAGUGAAAUCCCAAGGCUCAACCUUGGAAUUGCUUUUAAAACUGCUAGUCUAGAGAUUGAAAGAGGAUAGAGGAAUUCCUAGUGUAGAGGUGAAAUUCGUAAAUAUUAGGAGGAACACCAGUGGCGAAGGCGUCUAUCUGGUUCAAAUCUGACGCUGAGGCGCGAAGGCGUGGGGAGCAAACAGG
rnacentral:rRNA from 1 species